ensembl:snoRNA U3 Small nucleolar RNA U3
AAGACUAUACUUUCAGGGAUCAUUUCUAUAGUUUGUUACUAGAGAAGUUUCUCUGACUGUGUAGAGUACCCGAAACCACGAGGAGGAGAUGUGGAGGAGAUGUAGUAUUCUCUCCUGAGCGUGAAGCCGGCUCUAGGUGUUGUCUUUCUGCAACUGCCUUUUGCCUUCUUUUCUCCUUUGGGAGAGUGGAGGGAGAGAAUGCAGUCUGAGUGGU